rnacentral:rRNA from 1 species
UACGUAGGGUGCAAGCGUUGUUCGGAAUUACUGGGCGUAAAGGGCUCGUAGGCGGCCAACUAAGUCAGACGUGAAAUCCCCAGGCUCAACCUGGGAACUGCGUCUGAUACUGGAUGGCUUGAAUCCGGGAGAGGGAUGCAGAAUUCCAGGUGUAGCGGUGAAAUGCGUAGAUAUCUGGAGGAAUACCGGUGGCGAAGGCGGCAUCCUGGACCGGCAUUGACGCUGAGGAGCGAAAGCCAGGGGAGCAAACGGG